AUUGAACGCUGGCGGAAUGCUUUACACAUGCAAGUCGAACGGCAGCACGGGGCAACCUGGUGGCGGGUGGCGAACGGGUGAGUAAUACAUCGGAACGUGCCCAAUCGUGGGGGAUAACGUAGCGAAAGUUACGCUAAUACCGCAUACGAUCUACGGAUGAAAGCGGGGGAUCGCAAGACCUCGCGCGAAUGGAGCGGCCGAUGUCAGAUUAGGUAGUUGGUGGGGUAAAGGCUCACCAAGCCGACGAUCUGUAGCUGGUCUGAGAGGACGACCAGCCACACUGGGACUGAGACACGGCCCAGACUCCUACGGGAGGCAGCAGUGGGGAAUUUUGGACAAUGGGCGCAAGCCUGAUCCAGCCAUUCCGCGUGCAGGAUGAAGGCCUUCGGGUUGUAAACUGCUUUUGUACGGAGCGAAAAGGCUCUCUCUAAUACAGGGGGCUCAUGACGGUACCGUAAGAAUAAGCACCGGCUAACUACGUGCCAGCCGCCGCAGUAAAAC
rnacentral:rRNA from 1 species